CUUUACUGAUGAGCUUGAAACAGGCUGAACCUGAUCCCCCCGCCCUAUGGCUAAAUGGGGGAUCCCAGGCCCCCGAGUCUCCCCCCGGACCUGCAGCGAAAGACACGGACGGUGCCCAUCAGCUCUGGGCAGAGGAACGUGCUGCGCCUCCGCAGCGUCCCCGGCUCAGGAACUGACACGAAGAACAAUAAAGCCGGCGAUGUGGGGAGGGGACAGGGAUGGAGUUACAUCAUGAAGGCUCUGGAAGGUGGCAUUGGAGGCCGGGAUCGCGCCACUGUCCUCCAGCCUGUGCGACUGAGCGAGACUGUCUCCAGAAAAAAAAAAAAAAAAAAAAAAAAAAAAAAAAAUCCUGUCCAGUCUUUAUAAGAAGAGAGACGUGGACACAGACACGCGGAGAGAAAAAGGCCAUGUGGAGAUGGCGGCAGAGAUGAGAUGUGCUGCCACCAGACGAGAAAUGGCAGGGAUGGCUGGCGGCCUCCACAGGGCUGGGAAAGGUGGCCAGGGCCUCCCUCAGAGCCUUCAGCCAGCCUGCGGGAGAGAAAGAUGAUAAACGGUGUUGUUUUUGUUGUUGUUGUUUGAGACAGAGUCUGUGUCACACAGGCUGGAGUGCAAUGGUGAGAUCUUGGCUCACUGCAGCCUCAGCCUCCCGGGUUCAAGCGAUUCUCCUGCCUCAGCCACCCGAGUAGCUGGGAUUACAGGCACGCACCACCAUGCCAGGCUAAUUUUUGUAUUUUUAGUAGAGACGGGGUUUCAUCAUGUUGACCAAGCUGGUCUCGAACCCCUAACAUCAGGUGAUCCAUCCGCCUCGGCCUCCCAAAAGUGCUAGGCUCACAGGAGUGAGCCACCGCGCCCAGCCCAAUGUGUGUUGUUUUAAACCACUCAAGUUUGCAGUAAUUUGUUACACAGCCCAAAUACUUUUUAAUUUUUUAGAAAUUUUAACGUAAUUUUAGAUUAGAAAAGUGGCAAGAACCAUACAGAAUGUCAUAUUCCCUCAUCCAGAUUUUCCAAAUAUUAAUUUUUUUUGCUUCUAUUAUCAGAAACUCAUUGUUAUUUCAAAUGUUAAGUUUUUACUACAUUUGCUCCCUCUCUGUCUCUCCACACACACACACACACACACACACACACACACACGUGUGCAGGUGUGUAUGAAUCUGUCACUCAGUCUAUCUGGUUUCUCUAACUUGUUAUUUUGUUUUGUUUUGUUUCUUUUUGAGACAGAAUCUUUCUCUGUCACCCACGCUGGAGUGCAGUGGUGUGAUUUCAGCUCACUGCAACCUCCCCCCCAC
rnacentral:lncRNA from 1 species